UACGUAGGGUGCGAGCGUUGUCCGGAAUUAUUGGGCGUAAAGCGCACGUAGGCGGCUUAGCAAGUCGGAAGUGAAAUCCCUCGGCUCAACCAAGGAAGUGCUUUCGAAACUGCUGAGCUUGAGUACUUAAGAGGAUCGCGGAAUUCCCGGUGUAGAGGUGAAAUUCGUAGAUAUCGGGAGGAACACCAGUGGCGAAGGCGGCCGGCUGGGGGGUGACCUGACGCUGGAGGCGCGAAAGCGUGGGGAGCGAACCGGAUUAGAAACCCCGUGU
rnacentral:rRNA from 1 species